AGAUGCUUGCAGCCUUCUGAAGAGGCAUGGUGUUACUCUGUAUGGAUAAAUACCUGAAGUCUCCCGAUAAGGGGGCUGCAGCUCAAUUCUGAACUGUGAUGGGGAGCUCCUGCACUCAGGGUGUUUGGAAGAGAGAGUAGCAGAGAGAGCUGGGUGCUGGAUGGUUCCUCCCAAGCCUCUUUUCCCCUUCAGUCCCACACCUUCACCAUUCAGAGCAUUCUCCCUCUGUGCCCUAUUGCCUUGUGCCUGCCCUGACAAGUGGGGCUGAAAGAACAUGGUUAUGCAUGUCCCCGAAGCACAUUCAUAAACCUCUGUGAGAAGAGGGGAAGAAUUAGUCCAGAAUAUUUUAAAAGGUGAAUGAGAAAUGCUUCACUCACUGUAACUUCCACCUACUUCUAUUUUCUUAGUAUGCUAUUAAAUGAUCUUUGAGUCAAA